rnacentral:rRNA from 1 species
GGGAGCUUGCUCCCGGAUGUUAGCGGCGGACGGGUGAGUAACACGUGGGUAACCUGCCUGUAGACUGGGAUAACUCCGGGAAACCGGAGCUAAUACCGGAUAGUUCCUUGAACCGCAUGGUUCAAGGAUGAAAGACGGUUUCGGCUGUCACUUACAGAUGGACCCGCGGCGCAUUAGCUAGUUGGUGGGGUAAUGGCUCACCAAGGCGACGAUGCGUAGCCGACCUGAGAGGGUGACCGGCCACACUGGGACUGAGCCACGCUCAAAACUAUACGGGAGCAGCAGUAGGGAUCUUCCGCAAUGGACGAAAGUCUGACGGAGCAACGCGCGUGAGUGAUGAAGGUUUCGGAUCGUAAGCUCUGUUGUAGGGAAGACAAGUGCGAGAGUAGCGUAGAGAUGUGGAGGAACACAGUGGCGAAGCGACUCUCUGGUCUGUAACUGACGCUGAGGAGCGAAGCGUGGGGAGCGAACAGGAUAGAUACCCUGUAGUCCACGCGUAAACGAUGAGUGCUAAGUGUUAGGGGGUUUCCGCCCUCUUAGUUGCCAGCAUUCAGUUGGGCACUCUAAGGUGACUGCCGGUGACAAACCGGAGGAAGGUGGGGAUGACGUCAAAUCAUCAUGCCCCUUAUGACCUGGGCUACACACGUGCUACAAUGGACAGAACAAAGGGCUGCAAGACCGCAAGGUUUAGCCAAUCCCAUAAAUCUGUUCUCAGUUCGGAUCGCAGUCUGCAACUCGACUGCGUGAAGCUGGAAUCGCUAGUAAUCGCGGAUCAGCAUGCCGCGGUGAAUACGUUCCCGGGCCUUGUACACACCGCCCGUCACACCACGAGAGUUUGCAACACCCGAAGUCGGUGAGGUAACCCACCAACU